ensembl:lncRNA
AAUCAUAACACAGUGUAAACACACUUCUGCAAUCAUCUCACGUAAUCAGAAAUGCUGUCAAUCUGAGGACAGACUUGUAAUCAUUAAACAUAAAACUGAAUUAUUUAGUCACUUCACUGAGUUUAUCCCAACCACAUCAUUCAGGUGACUCCAUUUCUAUACAAUUUUGAUCAAAGUGGAGAGAUUUUUACAGAUAACAUUUGGUAAUUAUUAGUCGGAUUUUCAGAUCAAUAACAUUUGUUGGUUUUUCACUAAGAUUCAGAACAAUCAAAACAUGUUUGAGUAAUUGUUACAAGUAAAUGGUUUUUCCGCUGGAGUAUAUCUGAUCAUCGGCUCUGAAGUCCUGUUGCUUUAGUUGUUCUUGCAGUCAUUGUUCUUGUUUUUUAUCUGUUGAGAAAAUGUGUUAAUUAUCGAAGUGAGUAUUAUUACUUUAAGUGUUUUAAAGUCCCAGUAGGAUGAUAGAAGAUGAGAAUGACUGUUAAUGUUUGUCAUUUCAGAAUGUCUGCACACACUAUCACAGGAUGAUCUGAUAUUGGCUCCACGACGCAGUUGCUACCAAUGUAGGAAUUUUGUUACAACACAAACAGAACUGGAAUUUUUGGAAGGACCAGACAUACAGGCAGAUUUGGCUGCUGUUUUCAAUGAUUCUUCACAUGAUGAAAACUCCUCAGAUGACAGUCUGGAGGAUGAUCAGACUGAGGAGCUUCAGGAAACUCAAAGUCUUUGUGAUGCUAAAGAGACUCCAGCAGGAGCUCCUACAGCAGCUCGAGGUGCAAUGGGUUCUAAAAACACCUCUAUGCCUAAUUUUGCCAUGGAGAGAGAAGACACCGAUCAGAACACUGUUACCCAGAAUGCACUGCUGUUACCACUGCCAAGACGCUGCAGAUCCAAGAACAUUUCAAUGCCAAACCUCACUCUAGAACGAAAGGACUCAGAUGCCUCCAGCUAGAAGAUCAAGUGAACAGUUACAGGUUUUGCAGGAUUUUACGAAGAAUCAGAUCAAGAGCUUUACUUCCACCAUCAUCAGUAGCUAAAUAAUGUGAAAACCUGGACAACACAUUCAUACAUGACUAAUAACAGGGUGGUUUUUCACAACAUCCGAAAAGCAUCAGGUCAGACACUGAAUUAAACUUCUGGACAAUUGGACAUGAAACACAAUCCAGCAUCUGAUCACAUUUUAUUCACAUAUUCACAUUUUUAGUCACAUUUAAUUCACAUUGCAUUUAUGCACAUUAUUUACAUUUAUUAUAUUUUACUUACACGGAAAGCCCGGUGAAAACCAGAUACCUUUGAAGUGUUUUUAAAAUGCAAUGUUCGUUUUAAAGAUGUAUUACUGAAGUACUGAUGUUACAAGCACAGAAAAUAUGGACAUUUUACAUUUUAUGCAUGAAUUUAUUGUUUCAAAUAGUUUUAAAACUAUACAAAUCCUCAUUGCAUUUUGAAUAAGUUUAAACUGACUUUUGAUAAAGUGACAUUCCUUUUGGAAACUCCAGAAAAUUAAAUUUCAACCUGUGAAAUUAUGAGAAAAGUGUGUGUGUAUGUGUGUGUGUGUGGCACGUCCUGAUUUUGCCAAGUCCGAUAUGUUCCUAGGUCAACAUAUUUUGUUGACCCUGGAACAACAUUUUACUCCAAAAAUAUAUUCUUAACCAUAUCCCUACACCUAAACCUAACCUUAACAUGAGUAAUCCCUAAAAUCAGAGGAAAUGAUAGAUGAAUGACACUGAUGUACAAGCACCAAACACUGAUUUUAAGCAUAAACUUCACAAAAUCUAUAAACUGGUUCUUCAAAUCUGAUUGGUUAAUCACAAUGUUGUUCCAGGGUCAACAACGAUGUUGUCCCAGGAACGUGUCUCACUUGGUAAAAUCAGGUUAGGCGUGUGUGUGUGACUGUGUGUGUGUGUGUUUGUGUGGGUGUGUUGUUUCUUGGUCAUCUGUUAUUUGAGAUUUUUAAUCAAAGGCAUGUCUUGAUUCUGAAUGGAGUUGUGAUUGUAACCAGCAGAGGGAAGCAUGAAUCUGUGUGAGAGUCCAGAACCUUUACAAAACCCCUGAAACACAUUUUGUCCGUGUCAGUAGGUCAUCUACACGACUGCGUGAACCAUUACUGUAUGUAUGUACCUCACUUUACGCACAGCUGUGUCAUACUGAAAAAAAAAGAUUGAAACACACUGGAUAAAAGCAUCUUCUAAAUGUAAAUGUUUGAUUAUUCAGAAUACAUUCCAUACUCUCCUGUCAGCCAAGUGUACAGACGAGAAUUAACAUUUUGAGGGUGUACUAGACUGCUUUAUUUUACUUUUAGUGCAGCUCAACUGGGUAUUGUCCCAUUGGUUGGUAUUUGUGAAAGCUUAUCACAAACCCAGGAAAAAAAUUGUUGUAGUCCUAACGAGUUAUUCGUUUUAGUUUUUGAAAAGUGAUUUCUGCUAAAGAAAAUAUCUCCUUUUGAAUUGGACUUUGAGCUUUGUAACUUUGCAGAUCUUGACAGCAACCUUCCAGACUAACUAAAGUUGAAAAAAGUGAAAAAGCA